UGGGAAGUACGGUCGCAAGAUUAAAACUCAAAGAAAUUGACGGGGGCCUGCACAAGCGGUGGAGUAUGUGGCUUAAUUCGAUGCAACGCGAAGAACCUUACCUGGCCUUGACAUGCAAGUGGUAGAGCCAUGAAAGUGGGACGAUCCCGCAAGGGAAGCUUGCACAGGUGCUGCAUGGCUGUCGUCAGCUCGUGUCGUGAGAUGUUGGGUUAAGUCCCGCAACGAGCGCAACCCUUGUGUCCUGUUGCCACUCCCUCGAGAGAGGGAAGCACUCUGGACAGACUGCCUCGCUUAAACGAGGAGGAAGGUGGGGAUGACGUCAAGUCAGUAUGGCCCUUACGGCCAGGGCUGCACACGUACUACAAUGCAUGGCACAAAGGGAAGCUAGACCGCAAGGUGGAGCAAAUCCCAUAAAACCAUGCCCAGUUCAGAUUGUCGUCUGCAACUCGACGACAUGAAGCCGGAAUCGCUAGUAAUGGCGCAUCAGCUACGGCGCCGUGAAUACGUUCCCAGGCCUUGUACACACCGCCCGUCACAUCAUGAAAGCCGGUUGUACCCGAAGUCCACUCUGCUAACCGCAAGGAGGCAGUGGCCGAAGGUA
rnacentral:rRNA from 1 species